GAGGGUCUAGCUCAGUGGUAGGGCACAUGCUUAGCAUGCACGAGGUCCUGGGUUCAAUCCCCAGUACCUCCA
rnacentral:tRNA from 1 species